UGCAGUCGAGCGAACAGACGAGGAGCUUGCUCCUCUGACGUUAGCGGCGGACGGGUGAGUAACACGUGGAUAACCUACCUAUAAGACUGGGAUAACUUCGGGAAACCGGAGCUAAUACCGGAUAAUAUAUUGAACCGCAUGGUUCAAUAGUGAAAGACGGUUUUGCUGUCACUUAUAGAUGGAUCCGCGCCGCAUUAGCUAGUUGGUAAGGUAACGGCUUACCAAGGCAACGAUGCGUAGCCGACCUGAGAGGGUGAUCGGCCACACUGGAACUGAGACACGGUCCAGACUCCUACGGGAGGCAGCAGUAGGGAAUCUUCCGCAAUGGGCGAAAGCCUGACGGAGCAACGCCGCGUGAGUGAUGAAGGUCUUCGGAUCGUAAAACUCUGUUAUUAGGGAAGAACAAAUGUGUAAGUAACUAUGCACGUCUUGACGGUACCUAAUCAGAAAGCCACGGCUAACUACGUGCCAGCAGCCGCGGUAAUACGUAGGUGGCAAGCGUUAUCCGGAAUUAUUGGGCGUAAAGCGCGCGUAGGCGGUUUUUUAAGUCUGAUGUGAAAGCCCACGGCUCAACCGUGGAGGGUCAUUGGAAACUGGAAAACUUGAGUGCAGAAGAGGAAAGUGGAAUUCCAUGUGUAGCGGUGAAAUGCGCAGAGAUAUGGAGGAACACCAGUGGCGAAGGCGACUUUCUGGUCUGUAACUGACGCUGAUGUGCGAAAGCGUGGGGAUCAAACAGGAUUAGAUACCCUGGUAGUCCACGCCGUAAACGAUGAGUGCUAAGUGUUAGGGGGUUUCCGCCCCUUAGUGCUGCAGCUAACGCAUUAAGCACUCCGCCUGGGGAGUACGACCGCAAGGUUGAAACUCAAAGGAAUUGACGGGGACCCGCACAAGCGGUGGAGCAUGUGUUUAAUUCGAGCAACGCGAAGAACCUUACCAAAUCUGACAUCCUCUGACCCUCUAGAGAUAGAGUUUUCCCCUUCGGGGGACAGAGUGACAGGUGG
rnacentral:rRNA from 1 species